rnacentral:rRNA from 1 species
AUUGAACGCUGGCGGCAUGCCUUACACAUGCAAGUCGAACGGCAGCACGGGAGCAAUCCUGGUGGCGAGUGGCGAACGGGUGAGUAAUAUAUCGGAACGUGCCCAGUCGUGGGGAUAACGUAGCGAAAGCUACGCUAAUACCGCAUACGAUCUAUGGAUGAAAGCGGGGGAUCGCAAGACCUCGCGCGAUUGGAGCGGCCGAUAUCAGAUUAGGUAGUUGGUGAGGUAAAGGCUCACCAAGCCGACGAUCUGUAGCUGGUCUGAGAGGACGACCAGCCACACUGGGACUGAGACACGGUCCAGACUCCUACGGGAGGCAGCAGUGGGGAAUAUUGGGACAAUGGGCGAAAGCCUGAUCCAGCAAUGCCGCGUGACGUGAAGAAGGCC